rnacentral:rRNA from 1 species
GAUGAACGCUGGCGGCGUGCCUAAUACAUGCAAGUCGAACGAAACUUCUUUAUCACCGAGUGCUUGCACUCACCGAUAAAGAGUUGAGUGGCGAACGGGUGAGUAACACGUGGGCAACCUGCCCAAAAGAGGGGGAUAACACUUGGAAACAGGUGCUAAUACCGCAUAACCAUAGUUACCGCAUGGUAACUAUGUAAAAGGUGGCUAUACUACCGCUUUUGGAUGGUCCCGCGGCGCAUUAGCUAGUUGGUAGGGUAAAGGCUUACCAAGGCAAUGAUGCGUAGCCGAAUUGAGAGGUUGAUCGGCCACAUUGGGACUGAGACACGGACCAAACUCCUACGGGAGGCAGCAGUAGGGAAUCUUCCACAAUGGGCGAAAGCCUGAUGGAGCAACGCCGCGUGGGUGAAGAAGGUCUUCGGAUCGUAAAACCCUGUUGUUAGAGAAGAAAGUGCGUGAGAGUAACUGUUCACGUUUCGACGGUAUCUAACCAGAAAGCCACUGCUAACUACGUG